GACGAACCGUGCAAACGUUGUUCGGAAUCACUGGGCUUAAAGGGCGCGUAGGCGGGCCGGCCAGUCAGGGGUGAAAGCCCACGGCUCAACCGUGGAAGUGCCUUUGAUACUGCCGGUCUUGAGGGAGGUAGGGGCGUGCGGAACUUCCGGUGGAGCGGUGAAAUGCGUAGAUAUCUGGAGGAACACCGGUGGCGAAGGCGACAUCCUGGACCGGUAUUGACGCUGAGGCGCGAAAGCCAGGGGAGCAAACAGG
rnacentral:rRNA from 1 species